rnacentral:rRNA from 1 species
GGAUAACACUUAGAAAUAGGUGCUAAUACCGCAUGAGCGCACAGGACCGCAUGGUCGAGUGUGAAAAACUGAGGUGGUGUAAGAUGGACCCGCGUCUGAUUAGCUAGUUGGUGAGGUAACGGCCCACCAAGGCGACGAUCAGUAGCCGGCCUGAGAGGGUGGACGGCCACAUUGGGACUGAGACACGGCCCAAACUCCUACGGGAGGCAGCAGUGGGGGAUAUUGGACAAUGGGGGGAACCCUGAUCCAGCGACGCCGCGUGAGUGAAGAAGUAUCUCGGUAUGUAAAGCUCUACCAGCAGGGAAGAAGAAAUGACGGUACCUGAGUAAGAAGCCCCGGCUAACUACGUGCCAGCAGCCGCGGUAAUACGUAGGGGGCAAGCGUUAUCCGGAAUUACUGGGUGUAAAGGGAGCGUAGACGGUGAUGUAAGUCUGGAGUGAAAGGCGGGGGCCCAACCCCCGGACUGCUCUGGAAACUAUGUGACUGGAGUGCAGGAGAGGUGAGCGGAAUUCCUAGUGUAGCGGUGAAAUGCGUAGAUAUUAGGAGGAACACCAGUGGCGAAGGCGGCUCACUGGACUGUAACUGACGUUGAGGCUCGAAAGCGUGGGGAGCAAACAGGAUUAGAUACCCUGGUAGUCCACGCCGUAAACGAUGAUCACUAGGUGUGGGUGGGUAUGGACCCAUCGGUGCCGCAG